AGCUAAAAACCAAAAGUAAAACUGAAAAAAUGAUUUUGUAAAAAAAUGGCCACUUUUCUAAAUUCAUUCUUGAAACUCAGAAAAUGUAAUACCUAUCAUACACAAAAAUGUGUUGUAAGACAAAUAUUAAUAAUGAAACAAUACUUAUAUUUUUGCAAUACAACUUCAAAAGUUAAGAAAAUACAAUUAAAUAAACCAACCAGGCAUCUAAAUGACAUUUUUGAUAAAAAAUGUUUCUUAAAAACAAUCUGAAGAUGGAUAUUUGUUUUUUUUUAUUGCGUGUUUAUUUCCUAUAUAGGCCUACAUAAGUUCCUAAUGUAGACUUUAAAAAUGUUUUGAUUAUUUAAAAACUUAUUUGGUUUAAAAAGUAAUAAGAACUUGUUUAGUUUUUUUUUUGUUUUCAUAAAACAUUUUAAAUUAAAACUGAAUUUUAUUUAUAUUUUUUAUUCGAAAAAACAUGAAAUAAGUCAACUGAUAUGUUUUUACUAAAAUUGAGCAAAAAUAAAAAAUAGGAGAAAAGUGAAUUCCAGUUAGGUGCGUCCGUGGGAUAAAAUAAUAAUUUAAAAUAAUCUAUGAAUUCUCUAAUAAAAUCUAAAUGUCUAGCGGAGACGGUAUAGAGUUUGCUUUCAUAGAAAGCAGUUUUCAAAUGUAAGGAUGUGGACGCUGUCCCCCCCGCUCCCUCCGUGAAGGAGGUGGAGGCUGGUUGGAUGUGGGUCGGAAGUGCCGUAGUUUAUGUAUGGGGGUUGUAGCUAGAUAUUUACGUUCAGUGGGAGCCGCCCUUCAUUCACCCACAUGGUUACCAACUGCUCUCCUUCGCGCCACUUUCCUAACCCCGCAAUCUUUUCAAAAACACCUCCCGGCGCUCGAAUUUGGCUCCCGAACAGCGCGGACUCAGCUCGGCGGCUCGUUUAGGUCCGCUGGCGUUAAAAGUUUUGUGAAAAGUUGCGCAUUUAUUCGCCUCUUUUGUCAGCGCGAGUCUCCACAGCAGCCCAAGCAAGUGAGCGAAGAUGGUGGAUUUCGGCUGGUGAGCAGCGAAGGAGAAUCUGAUGAAUAACCAGUCCAGCUAACAAAGCUGUGUUGCCGUCUUCCCGGUGGUGCUGGAGUACGAUCAUUCCCUAAUCUGUUUGUGUAUUGUCAAAGUGCUUACAGUGCAGGUAGUACAUUUAAAUACCUACUGCAGUGGAGGCACUUACAGCAGUACACCGACGCUAAUGUGCAGACGAUUGUGUGUAAUGUCAUACGAUGUACUGUCUUUGUGCUAAGGUGCAUCUAGUGCAGAUAGUGAAAUAGACUAGCACCUACUGCCCUAAGUGCUCCUUCUGGCAUAAGGGGCUGUAAUAUGCGCCACCAGAUCAGUACUAAUUUCUAAUUUGGCCCAAUUAUCUUGCAGUUCUCUGCUAGUUUUGCAUAGUUGCACUACAAGAAUAGAUGAGUUGUGCAAAUCUAUGCAAAACUGAUGGUGGCCUGCUUGCUCUCCACCUGUUUUUUCUGGGGGUUGGUGGGGGAUGAACACCAAAACAGUUAUAUUAAUUUGUAUUUUUGAAUGAUGUGAAGGACCCUUUGCCAGUUCUCAUCCAGUGAUCUCAGUUUCAGCAGUACUAAAGUGCUUAUAGUGCAGGUAGUGUUUCUACCUUAUCUACUGCAAUGUAAGCACUUGAAGUACUUCUAACUGUAUUUUUCUGGAGCCCCGAUAUGUGUGUAUGUGUGUGCACAAACACGACAAAUCUAUUAUUCAUCGCUUGGUCAGUUUUGCUGGUUUGCAUUCAGCUUUAACCGGUGUUUGCUGUGCAAAUCCAUGCAAAACUGAUCAGACGCGUGAGCUGACGCUCUGCAGGACCGUUGCUGCUUCAAACCUGCGCCCUCUGCCUUUGCACACCUGGAAGAUGUCCUGUCCUGUGCAGGUGGGGAUUAGUAGCAAUGCUGUUCUCCACGAGGUAUUGCACUUGUCCCGGCCUGUAAAGGAACGGGGAGAUGAAGCUGACCAAUAAUUUGACGAAUAAUUGAUUUGAUUUUGUAUGCAAAUUGAGUCUUUUUGUGUAUUUUUGUUUUGUUUGUAUUAUGAUUUAGAUGUGAUUAAAGUGUUUUAAAAUGUU